ACGUAGGGGGCGAGCGUUGUCCGGAAUUAAUGGGCGUAAAGGGUGCGUAGGCGGUUUGGUAAGUUAGAUGUGAAAUCCCCGGGCUUAACUCGGGAGUUGCAUUUAAAACUGCUGAACUAGAGUGCAGGAGAGGAAAGCGGAAUUCCUAGUGUAGCGGUGAAAUACGUAGAUAUUAGGAGGAACACCAGUGGCGAAGGCGGCUUUCUGGACUGUAACUGACGCUGAGGCACGAAAGCGUGGGGAGCGAACAG
rnacentral:rRNA from 1 species